rnacentral:rRNA from 1 species
AUUGAACGCAGGCGGCAGGCUUAACACGUGCAAGUCGAGCGGGGUGAUGGUGCUUGCACUAUCACUUAGCGGCGGACGGGUGAGUAAUGCUUAGGAAUCUGCCUAUUAGUGGGGGACAACAUCUCGAAAGGGAUGCUAAUACCGCAUACGUCCUACGGGAGAAAGCAGGGGAUCACUUGUGACCUUGCGCUAAUAGAUGAGCCUAAGUCGGAUUAGCUAGUUGGUGGGGUAAAGGCCUACCAAGGCGACGAUCUGUAGCGGGUCUGAGAGGAUGAUCCGCCACACUGGGACUGAGACACGGCCCAGACUCCUACGGGAGGCAGCAGUGGGGAAUAUUGGACAAUGGGGGGAACCCUGAUCCAGCCAUGCCGCGUGUGUGAAGAAGGCCUUAUGGUUGUAAAGCACUUUAAGCGAGGAGGAGGCUCUUUUGGUUAAUACCCAAGAUGAGUGGACGUUACUCGCAGAAUAAGCACCGGCUAACUCUGUGCCAGCCGCCGCCUAA